UACGUAGGAUGCAAGCGUUGUCCGGAAUUAUUGGGCGUAAAGAGCUCGUAGGCGGCCUGUCGCGUCGGAUGUGAAAGCCCGGGGCUUAACCCCGGGUCUGCAUUCGAUACGGGCAGGCUGGAGUGUGGUAGGGGAGAUCGGAAUUCCUGGUGUAGCGGUGAAAUGCGCAGAUAUCAGGAGGAACACCGGUGGCGAAGGCGGAUCUCUGGGCCAUUACUGACGCUGAGGAGCGAAAGCGUGGGGAGCGAACAGG
rnacentral:rRNA from 1 species